rnacentral:tRNA from 1 species
GCGCGAUUAGCUCAGUUGGAUAGAGCGUUGGCCUCCGAAGCCAAAGGUCGCAAGUUCGAAUCUUGCAUCGCGCACCA